rnacentral:misc_RNA from 1 species
GUUUACACACACACUACAAUAGCAAAACAAAACAGUUCAAUUUGCUUCGAUUAAGUUGAAGGUACACUGCAUGGUAAGCAUGGAUGGACAUUAUAAUAUUUGCCAACUCUAGGAGCAUUUUUCAAAGACAUGUUUCACUUCAUGUAUUUAUGAAGAAACUUUCUGUGAAAGUCAUUCCGGAUAGUGUCAUUGAUGAAGCGCUUAGCUGCCUUCAUUUCACCUCGAGCUUGGUUCUUGAAAACUACAUCAUCAUCCCACCUUCGCUUCACACUGAAAGUUGUUGGCUGGUUGUUGUUUAACAGAGGGUUUCCUCUCAAUAAUUCCGCCUCCUUUGCUUUAAGCUCUUCCUCUUGCUCUAGCCUUUCUUUCCGAAGUUUUUCCUCUGCUUUUUCUUUCUUUAUCUGUUCAAGCUCUGCCAAGAGAGCUUCUGUAUCAUCUUCAUCAUCGUCAUCAUCAUCGUCG